rnacentral:lncRNA from 1 species
UGUUAAGGCAGGACUGAGAGCCCAGACUCGUUAGGAAUGAAGGUUUGGGUCACCCCACCUGGCAAGGAACCAUGACCGGCUCAGCAGUGAUGAAGCAACUGCCAUUGUGGAGAGGCCCAUGGGGCCAGGAGCUGAGGAGCUGAGGUCCUCCAGUCCAACAGUCUGCAGGGAGCUGAAUUCUGCCAGAACCAUGUGAGUUAGGAAGCAGAUCCUUCCCCGGUGGUGCUUUCAGGCUCUGAGGACCGGCGGCUGAGAUUAAACAACUUAUUACACAAAGAACCAUUUAAUUGCAAGCACAAUCACGCUUAGUGGAGAAGGAGAGAACGGAGCACGGUUUAAGAUGAUCUCCUCACCAGUUCUGCAAGAGACGGGGUUUCACCGUGUUGCCCAGGCUGGUCUCAAAC